rnacentral:rRNA from 1 species
AUUGAACGCUGGCGGCAUGCCUUACACAUGCAAGUCGAACGGCAGCACGGGUGCUUGCACCUGGUGGCGAGUGGCGAACGGGUGAGUAAUACAUCGGAACAUGUCCUGUAGUGGGGGAUAGCCGGGCGAAAGCCGGAUUAAUACCGCAUACGAACUUAGGGUGAAGCCGGGGGCACUUCGGGCCUCGGGCUUUAGGGUCGGCUGAUGGCGGAUUAGCUAGUUGGUGGGGUAAAGGCCUACCAAGGCGACGAUCAGUAGCUGGUCUGAGAGGACGACCAGCCACACUGGAACUGAGACACGGCCCAGACUCCUACGGGAGGCAGCAGUGGGGAAUUUUGGACAAUGGGCGAAAGCCUGAUCCAGCAAUGCCGCGUGUGUGAAGAAGGCCUUCGGGUUGUAAAGCACUUUUGUCCGGAAAGAAAUCCUUGGCCCUAAUACGGUCGGGGGAUGACGGUACCGGAAGAAUAAGCACCGGCUAACUACGUG